rnacentral:rRNA from 1 species
UACGUAGGGCGCAAGCGUUAUCCGGAAUUAUUGGGCGUAAAGAGCGUGUAGGCGGUUAGGUAGGUCCGUUGUGAAAACUCGAGGCUCAACCUCGAGACGCCGAUGGAAACCAUCUAACUAGAGUCCGGAAGAGGAGAGUGGAAUUCCUGGUGUAGCGGUGAAAUGCGCAGAUAUCAGGAAGAACACCCGUGGCUAAGGCGGCUCUCUAGUACGGUACUGACGCUGAGACGCGAAAGCGUGGGGAGCGAACAGG